rnacentral:rRNA from 1 species
AUGCAAGAACUGCAGCAGCAGCUGGCAGCCAUGAACAGCCAUUGUCAGUUCCAAGUAACCCAUCCCAUGCAGCAGUAUAUACUACCAUACACACACAAGAAAAUAGGAGAGGAGAGAAGAGAAGCCCACAGAGAGUUUUCUUCUCCUAGCUCUUUGUGGCGCGGCGCCGCAUUGCAACUGCAUCCAUCGACCGGUAAUAAGCAACCCAACUCACUCAUCCAUCUCUCGCCGCCGGGCCUUGAUCCAUUCCCUCCUCUCGCGUUGCUGUUCAUAGCUCUACGUUUCGUCUUGAUCCCCUUCGAUGAUUUAUCCUCUCCCCCUCCUAUCCUGGCUGAGAGCACAUCGUGCUUCUUCAAUUCCUUAUAUCCUUGUACGGAUGGAUCAUGGAUUCUUGUGCUGCUCCCGCUCUACAUGCAUGGGCAUCCCUUCCUGCUUAGGGCUCUUUUGAUUGAAAGCAAUUCUAUAGUAUUUUUGGAGGAUUGA